rnacentral:rRNA from 1 species
AGUGAACGCUGGCGGUAGGCCUAACACAUGCAAGUCGAACGGCAGCACAGUAAGAGCUUGCUCUUACGGGUGGCGAGUGGCGGACGGGUGAGGAAUACAUCGGAAUCUACUUUUUCGUGGGGGAUAACGUAGGGAAACUUACGCUAAUACCGCAUACGACCUACGGGUGAAAGCAGGGGAUCUUCGGACCUUGCGCGAUUGAAUGAGCCGAUGUCGGAUUAGCUAGUUGGCGGGGUAAAGGCCCACCAAGGCGACGAUCCGUAGCUGGUCUGAGAGGAUGAUCAGCCACACUGGAACUGAGACACGGUCUAGACUCCUACGGGAGGCAGCAGUGGGGAAUAUUGGGCAAUGGGCGCAAGCCUGAUCCAGCCAUACCGCGUGGGUGAAGAAGGCCUUCGGGUUGUAAAGCCCUUUUGUUGGGAAAGAAAAGCAGCAGGUUAAUACCCCGCUGUUCUGACGGUACCCAAAGAGUAAGCACCGGCUAACUUCGUG